GACGAACGCUGGCGGCGUGCUUAACACAUGCAAGUCGAACGGAGUGGCGAACGGGUGAGUAACACGUGGGUGAUCUGCCUUGCACUUCGGGAUAAGCUUGGGAAACUGGGUCUAAUACCGGAUAGUGCAAGAUGAGCUCGCGGCCUAUCAGCGUGUUGGUGGGGGAAUGGCCUACCAAGGCGUCGACGGGUAGCCGGGCUGAGAGGGGGUACGGCCACAUUGGGACUGAGAUACGGCCCAGACUCCAACGGGGGGCAGCAGUGGGGAAUAUUGCACAAUGGGCGGAAGCCUGAUGCAGGGACGACGGGUGGGGGAGGAAGGCCUUCGGGUUGUAAACUCCUUUCGACAGGGACGCGGUACCUGUAUAAGAAGCACCGGCUAACUACGUGCCAGCCGCCGCGGUAAUAC
rnacentral:rRNA from 1 species